rnacentral:rRNA from 1 species
UAAGGAAUAUUGGGCAAUGGACGCAAGUCUGACCCAGCCAUGCCGCGUGAAGGAUGAAGGUCCUCUGGAUUGUAAACUUCUUUUUUCUGGGGCGAAAACCAGCCUUUCUAGGUUGUUUGACAGUACCAGAAGAAUAAGCACCGGCUAACUCCGUGCCAGCAGCCGCGGUAAUACGGAGGGUGCAAGCGUUAUCCGGAUUCACUGGGUUUAAAGGGUGCGUAGGUGGGUUGGUAAGUCAGUGGUGAAAUCCCCGAGCUUAACUUGGGAACUGCCAUUGAUACUAUCAAUCUUGAAUAUUGUGGAGGUAAGCGGAAUAUGUCAUGUAGCGGUGAAAUGCUUAGAUAUGACAUAGAACACCAAUUGCGCAGGCAGCUUGCUACACAAUGAUUGACACUGAGGC